AUGCAAGUAGUAAGAGAAACAAACAGGGAUGAGGCGAAAAGCGUGCCUCAACAAUCUCUGCAUGUGCAGAUAGAUAGACAAAGCAGUGCAGGUGCAUGUACAUAUUUCAUGUUUGUAGUCAAUGGCGGAUUAACAAAAUAUGUUAUAAUUUGUAUAUCUUCGUAUGCUACAGAGGACAUGGACGCGACAAGCCUCACCAGAACCGCUCUUCGUGAUGACACAGGGUCUCCAGGUACAUGGUCUUAUGUUGAUCCAUGUCAUAACUAUCUAAUGUACAUGUGUGAUCAAGCAUUCGUAUUUUCUUCUAAAAGCAUCACAGAUGGACAUCCCAGCCUUAUUCGUGACAAAUCUAACUUUGACAUACUUUCCCAAAACCUUACUGGAAUGUUCAAGUGUAUUAUAUGUGUCUUACGAUUCUUGAAAUUAAUCAAGUCCUUUUCAUGGAAACACACAGGCAACCACAAAGGAACAAAGGAACCUCACUUAGGAAAUUUCCUUGAAACCCACCCACACCCUGAAGUUCAUGUCUCGGAAGUUGACCAUCUUGACGCGAUUAGUGGAGGUAUGGCUACACCUCAAUUAAAAAUACAACUUGUGUAUGUUUGA
rnacentral:rRNA from 1 species